rnacentral:tRNA from 1 species
GCGAGGAUGGCGGAAUUGGCAGACGCGCUAGACUUAGGAUCUAGUGUCUCCGACGUGAGGGUUCAAGUCCCUCUCUUCGCA